GUUAAGGAAACCACAAGCUCAACCCAAAAUCUGUAGAUAGAAUUUGUGACCUGCCUGUGCUGAGAAGUAAAAGAGAAGCUCUGCAAAGAUUCCUCCUCCUCCUCCUCCUCCUCCUCCUCUUCCUCCUCCUCCUCUUCCUCCUCCUCCUCUUCCUCCUCCUCCUCCUCCUUCUCUUCCUCCUCCUCCUCCCCCUCCUCCCGAGGUUCUGGGAGCUGCAAAGCUAGGUCUUAACUUGGGUCAUACCCAAGGUGACUUUAUGCACAGUUCUCUAUAGCAUGCACUGCAGGAGCCUAUACAUGGUGGUCUGUGGAUGGCUAAUGACUAGAACUUUGUUUUACUGUCUGUGGAUGAAGGCGGGACUCACUUUCAGUGGCAUGAGAACCGCUGGGAAUACUUUGUAAUCCAUAAAGGAUUUUCUUCCUAUCCCUUGUGAGUAGACAAAUGAUUCUUUAAACUGACUACUGCUUUUGGGCUUGUUUUAUUUUUGGAGACAGGGUCUCAGUGUGUAGCUCUGGCUGUCCUGAGACUCAUUUUGGUCUCCUAGAGAUCCACCUGCUUCUGCUUCCUGAGUGUUGGGAUUAAGGGCAUGAGCCACCAUGGGGCUUUGUAGGUUUUAUAGACACUAACCCAUUACUUUCCAGCCUUUAGUCUCCUUUUGGAAACCUGAAUUGCUUCAUUAAAAAAAUUUUUUUUCAUCUUAACUGUCUUAGAGAAUACAUUCUUCUUCUUUACAUCUUAAAGUUAGUAAUAUGUUGCUUCAAGGCCUAUCUUAAUGUAAAUUAAUGUAAUGUAAAAGACUAAAAGUUUAGUAGCUGAUCUCCAAGUCAGUGUUUGGAAAUAAACAUUUGCUUGACAGUCAUUGUAAGUCACUGUCCAUCUUAGGACAAUAUUCCAUUUUCCAGACUUAAGAUCAGGAUUCUAGGACACACUGUAAGUAACAGCAUCUUUUCCAAAUUAAGGAGAACAUUUUACUGUAGGAAGGAAAUGCUCCUUUGGAAUCCUAGAAAGAGCUAGUUCCCAGUGCUGUGGGAUGACUCUACCCUGAUCAGGAGUGAUCGGGAGGCAGUGAAUCACAAAAGUUCAAUUGCUGCAUUUUGUGCUAAACAUUGUCAUUAUCUUUAUUAUGACUG
rnacentral:lncRNA from 1 species